ACUCCCUCCUUUCUUGCUGUAGAAAGAUUUUAAUUUUUCACAAAAUUAGCAAAUGACAUUACACAAGUUGCAUAUUUACUUAAAAUUCAGAAAAGUGGCAAUGGAUUUUUUUUCUUUUUACAUGACCCAACUGACCCAAGUUGAUUAAGAUGCAACUUUAAGUUGUUUUGCACUUGUCUCUUUUUGGACGUUACAUUGAAAUACAUACAAGUUGAUGACAUGCAUUGCAAAGGUAUCAAAGAAGAAUAAAUGUAUUUGUCAUUCUGAUAUAUGCCAUUUCAUCAUAGUUACAUUGCUAUUACUGUAACUGUCUUGUAACGUAGCUAACGUUAGUCAACUAGACUGGGCAAGCAACGCUAUCUCACGCAAAUGUCCUCAGCAUCCAUGCUAUAACCUAAACACGCCGUAACCAGUUUUACCGCUCGCAAGCUUCCGGUAUCUAUACAUUCAGUGGCGGGAUUGUACGGUGCCCGGGAAGGGACACUGUGCGAGAUCUCGCGAGACCUCCCAAACCAACGGUACAUCUUUGAAUGAAGACGAACGGCGGUACUUGACGGCGGCCACCCAGAUUUUGCUUCUACGCAGUUGGGUGAAUUUAGAGCUAAGGACACAUGGAGAGGAAGUUUGCCGUGGUGCAGUGGAGUGAAGGGGAGGAUUUUGGAAAGCUCAGCGAGAUAAAAACUGAUGCCAUAAGGGGGUAUGAUGAUUCCAAGAUGGACCACGAUGGGAAUCCCAUUUCCAACUAUUCAACUGUCAUUGAAUGGCGCCAUGGGAAGAAACAACGAGGAGGGUGGCCUCACUACAGAGGCAUCGUCAUCUUUGUUAGUGCCACUCGUUUUGAGACAACUCGUAAACUUAACUCACUGCUAAAGGAAGACGAACCUGCAGAGCUGGCAAAGAGGGUGUCAGUGGCCCCCCAAAAAUAUGGGGAUGAUUCGGAAGGCUCAACCGAUACUGAGACUCAGUCAUUGCAAGUUAAGAGGUCAAAGGUUCCCACGAGGACAGACCCCGCAGACGAGUUUCUUAAGCAAUAUGGUCAAUCACAGCCUUCUCCAGAUAAUCAUAACAAUCAGAGGAAGACUGCAGUUGAAUUAAAGCAGGAGAUCAAGGACCUAAAAGCAGAAAAUGCUAAAUUGAAGGAGAUGGUUCUUCGAGAUGUGCCAGGACUCCUACAGAGCAUGAGGAAUAUAAUUGAUUCGGCUGCAUCUCCUGAGAGAUCCAGGUUGGAGCUUAACACACCACCGCUGGUCCUCCCAGGUUCUCCGCAGUCCGGGUCCAGUUGUCCAUCUGCCACUUCACUGCUGUCCGUACCCAGAUCUACGGUGUCCAGUUCCAGGUCUGCAUCUGUCACUCCAUCACUGACUGUCUCCCAGUCUUCUAAGGUUGAGAUCCAUCCUGGGACCGGAGUCAUGGUUGAGAGACUGGCAUGGGCCUAUGCCCUCAAUGCAAAUUCGGCCUCAGUAUUUGUAAGACAUCUGCUCACCGCAGUCUUCCCGGUAGAAGUACUGCUAGUGAGCAAUCUUCGGGGCAACAAACGAGGCAGAGGAGAUGCUCGUCUACCGCUGGACAAAAAUAAAUUGGAUGCCAUUUACAGUGCAACUCUUGAGAGGUGGCCAGGGACCCAGCUCUCCAGCAUUGGAAGCACGAUCAACGCCAAGAUUACGGAGCUCCGGUCAAAAAGUAAAAACGUUGCUGUGUCCGCAGCUCUCCAUUAAACUGUUUUGUUUGCUGUAAGUUUUACACAAGUGUAUCACAUAGGCCUUGGCCCUGAGCAAAUACUGGUACUGACUACUGUCUGCUGGAAGCAUGUGUGGCACUUUAACCAUACUACGCACUGCUUAGUGCUUGUUUAGUGAAGCAUGCUAAACAGUAGGCAGUACUAGCAUUUGCUCAGAGAUCUUUG
rnacentral:lncRNA from 1 species